GACGAACGCUGGCGGCGUGCCUAAUACAUGCAAGUCGAACGGAGCGGCGGACGGGUGAGUAAUGCCUAGGACUAUGCCUGGUAGUGCGGGAUAACGUCAGGAAACGGCCGCUCAUACCGCCUACUAUCAGAUCAGCCUAGGUUGGAUUAGCUCGGUGGUGGUGUAAAGACCUACCAAGGCGACGAUUCGUAUCUGGUCUGAGAGGAUGUUCAGUCACACUGGAACUGAGACACGGGCCAGACUCCUACGGGAGGCAGCAGUGAGGAAUAUUGGCCAAUGGGCGAAAGCCUGAUCCAGCCAUGCCGCGUGUGUGAAGAAGGUCUUCGGAUUGUAAAGCACUUUAAGUUGGGAGGCGUUACCAACAGAAUAAGCACCGGCUAACUUCGUGCCAGCAGCCGCGGUAAUUC
rnacentral:rRNA from 1 species